rnacentral:rRNA from 1 species
UUCAUAGAGUGUAAAGGCAUAAGGGAGCUUGACUGCGAGACCUACAAGUCGAGCAGGGUCGAAAGACGGACUUAGUGAUCCGGUGGUUCCGCAUGGAAGGGCCAUCGCUCAACGGAUAAAAGCUACCCCGGGGAUAACAGGCUUAUCUCCCCCAAGAGUUCACAUCGACGGGGAGGUUUGGCACCUCGAUGUCGGCUCAUCGCAUCCUGGGGCUGUAGUCGGUCCCAAGGGUUGGGCUGUUCGCCCAUUAAAGCGGUACGCGAGCUGGGUUCAGAACGUCGUGAGACAGUUCGGUCCCUAUCCGUCGUGGGCGUAGGAAAUUUGAGAGGAGCUGUCCUUAGUACGAGAGGACCGGGAUGGACAUACCUCUGGUGUACCAGUUGUCGUGCCAACGGCAUAGCUGGGUAGCUAUGUGUGGACGGGAUAAGUGCUGAAAGCAUCUAAGCAUGAAGCCCCCCUCAAGAUGAGAUUUCCCAACUUCGGUUAUAAGAUCCCUCAAAGA